CUACUUACUGCUAUGUAAGUGUAAACCCCUAUUGUCUCUACUGUUGUUAUUACUGAAUCAGAAUCCCUAAGGGUAUGAUCUGGAUGUUUCUGGUUUGGAAGAGCUGCUCAGGAGAUUCCGAUUUGCAUGCUUGGUUCAGAACCAACUGUCUCUUGGAUUGUCUGUUUCAUAGAUAUGAGAAAACGUGAAGUGCAGUGGGACCUGAUUAACCAGGAAGAGCACAGGUUUCUGGGAUCCAAUUCUCACUGGCAAACUCAUUCAGCUUGGCUUGCCAUCUUCCUCCUCCUCCUACCGCUAACAGUCUUGGGUCUCACUUCCUAUGAGGGCACCAGCUCCUCUUCUUGCAGGGGCUGAAAGUGAGCAAGGAAGAGCUCCAGGGAUGAAGGAGACGAGGGAGGGAUGUGUGGGUGCAAUCCACCCACCGCCUAACUAGCUACUGAGAAAUAGUGAGCUGGCGGCUGUGAGAGCUCUGGGGGCUGCUGAGCCUUCCAAGGGUUUACCAAGAUGGGACAAAUCUAAUGAGAAGAAAGUUACAGCAAAGCUUAUUGAACAAUAACCCAUUUCUUUCAUUUAGAAACAAUGAAGACACAUUUUUCUCACUUCCAUAGCACAAGGAAGACAAUAUCAGUGAUUUGUGCUGCCUGGUUAUCCAGUCUCUUUACCAACUUGGCUUAUUUGCUUGCUGCGAGAUAUGAACACUUAGGGCUGAAUGUGGCUCUCUUCUCUCUGGCCCAGUAAACUGAACAUGUAUGUCCAUUUAACUGCAGAACCAAACGAGCACAGUGGCAUAGAGCAACCACUAGGAAGAGGUGCGUGUGAAGGGGGAAGUAGAGGGGGAAAUGGGGGGCAGGAAGGAAUGAGCACUAUCAGGAUGGAGGCCUGGAAAGGACCUCAGGGGUCAGCCCCGGAAGAUGGGGGCUCAUGGUCUUCUUCCUUAGAGGGCCUGGCUGAGAGAUCUCAGCAGAAUACAGUCUCAGCUUUGGGACCACGGUUCUACCGCUGGAGGCCAUCCCAUCUGGCUGCAGGUGUAGACGCGUGUAUCAGGCUUACUUUCCGCACACUGACAGCACUUUAUUUUAAGAUGUCUUGGUUUCCACAAGCUGGAGCUAAGAAGGGAAGUCUGAGUCCCUCCUGACACCCGGGCUUCCAUGACUGCUUGGAUGUCUUCACCAGCAAGGUGCUUUUGGCCUCAUCACCUAUGCCAGUCCCGAAGCUUUCCACAGAAACCACACUGAAAUUGGUGACAAAAAUAGUCAGGGGUCCCUCAAAAAGCAGGCACUGGGGGUUCACAGUAGGCCAUCACCCACAGGGAAACAAUGUUCUCUUCCUCAAACCAUGUCCCUGGGCCAAAGUCUCUAUCCUCUGUGACAGGCCAGUAUUCUGCCUCUGUAAAUAAUCACCCAACUCCUUGGAAGAUAAAGCUGCACGAUCAGAGUGGGAGGAACUCCAGGACCAAAUUCAAUAAGGGGGUAGUAAACUGAUAGCUUUGCCACUGAGCAUAGUUUGCUUUGGGUCAAUAAAUGGAUUUGGUUUCCAAAAAAAAGUCA
ensembl:lncRNA